ensembl:miRNA MIR711 microRNA 711
CAUGAUCCUGACUUUGAGUCUUUCCCCAGGGUGCUGCAGGAAAAGCUGGGGACCCAGGGAGAGACGUAAGUGAGGGGAGAU